rnacentral:rRNA from 1 species
AAUGAACGCUGGCGGCGUGCCUAACACAUGCAAGUCGAACGAUGAUGGAGAGCUUGCUCUCCUGAUUAGUGGCGCACGGGUGAGUAUACCAUAGAUAAUGUACCCCUUAGUUCGGGAUAGCCACUGGAAACGGUGAUUAAUACCGGAUACUCCUUCUCAUUAUAAGAUGAGUCGGGAAAGUUUUUUCGCUAAGGGAUCAGUCUAUGUCCUAUCAGCUAGUUGGUGAGGUAAUGGCUCACCAAGGCUAUGACGGGUAUCUGGUUUGAGAGGAUGAUCAGACACACUGGAACUGAGACACGGUCCAGACUCCUACGGGAGGCAGCAGUGAGGAAUAUUGCACAAUGGAGGAAACUCUGAUGCAGCAACGCCGCGUGGAGGAUGACGCAUUUCGGUGUGUAAACUCCUUUUAAGAGGGAAGAUUAUGACGGUACCUCUUGAAUAAGCACCGGCUAACUCCGUGCCAGCCGCCGCGGUAA